rnacentral:rRNA from 1 species
UGGGGGAUAUUGCACAAUGGGCGAAAGCCUGAUGCAGCGACGCCGCGUGGGGGAUGAAGGCCUUCGGGUUGUAAACUUCUUUUGCUCUGAACAAGGCAUGCCUUUGGGGUGUGUUGAGUGUAGGGGUUGAUUAGCGCCGGCUAACUACGUGCCAGCAGCCGCGGUAAUACGUAGGGCGCGAGCGUUGUCCGGAAUUAUUGGGCGUAAAGGGCUUGUAGGUGGCUGGUUGCGUCUGUCGUGAAAGCUCAUGGCUUAACUGUGGGUUUGCGGUGGGUACGGGCUGGCUUGAGUGCAGUAGGGGAGGCUGGAAUUCCUGGUGUAGCCGUGGAAUGCGCAGAUAUCAGGAGGAAUACCGGUGGCGAAGGCGGGUCUCUGGGCUGUUACUGACGCUGAGGAGCGAAAGCGUGGGGAGCGAACAGG